rnacentral:rRNA from 1 species
AUUGAACGCUGGCGGCAGGCCUAACACAUGCAAGUCGAGCGGAUGAAGGGAGCUUUCUCCUGGAUUCAGCGGCGGACGGGUGAGUAAUGCCUAGGAAUCUGCCUGGUAGUGGGGGAUAACGUCCGGAAAGGGGCGCUAAUACCGCAUACGUCCUUAGGGAGAAAGUGGUGGAUCUUCGGACCUCACGCUAUCUGCUGAGCCUAGGUCGUAGUAGCUAGUUGGUGGGGUAACGGCUUACCAAGGCGACGAUCCGUAACUGGUCUGAGAGGAUGAUCAGUCACACUGGAACUGAGACACGGUCCAGACUCCUACGGGAGGCAGCAGUGGGGAAUAUUGGACAAUGGGCGAAAGCCUGAUCCAGCCAUGCCGCGUGUGUGAAGAAGGUCUUCGGAUUGUAAAGCACUUUAAGUUGGGAGGAAGGGAAGUAAGUUAAUACCUUGCUGUUUUGACGGUACCAACAGAAUAAGCACCGGCUAACUUCGUG